GCAGGGGUAGCGAAGUGGUCAAACGCGGCAGCCUCAAGAGCUGUUCCCUUUGUGGGUUCGGGAGUUCGAAUCUCCCUCCCUGCACCA
rnacentral:tRNA from 1 species